UACAGGGGGGGCAAGCGUUAUUCAUCUUGAUUGGGCGCAAAGGGUACGUAGGCGGUCUAUAGUGAGUAUUGGUGAAAUCCUAGAACUUAAUAUUUUAGAAGAGCUAAUACUAUUGAUACGACUUGAGUUAAACGUUCGUUGUGUAGAAUUCUCAAAGGAGCGCUGAAAUGCUGAGAUAUUGAGAGGAAUACUGUAAAUGAAAAUGUCCUUCGAUGUUUAACUGACGCUGAGGUACGAAGGCAUAGGUAGC
rnacentral:rRNA from 1 species